rnacentral:rRNA from 1 species
UAAUAUUCCCGUACUUCUUACAAUUGCGAUGGGGGGACGGAGAAGGCUAGGUGGGCCUGGCGACGGUUGUCCAGGUUCAAGUGCGUAGGCUUGAGAGUUAGGUAAAUCCGGCUCUCUUUAAGGCUGAGACACGACGUCGAGCACCUACGGGUGUGAAGUCAUUGAUGCCAUGCUUCCAGGAAAAGCCUCUAAGCUUCAGAUUGUAAGG